CAUUGCCCCAGGUAUGUCCUCUCUCUAUUUUGCCCUCUCUCUAUCUUUCAGUCUCUCUUCUCCUAAUUUCAGUCGCUAGGGUUUUCUUCUUUCAUUUGCAGUUUUGUUCUGAUAGCAGCUCUGUUCUUGACACUGGCGAGGUCGGAUGCCCCUUUCAUCAUCGCCCACAAGAAGGCCACUCUCACUAGGCUCAAGUCCGGUGUCGAACGUGUCUUCGCUUCCAUCGACAUCGGUGUCGAACGUGUCCGUGAAUCGCCGAUACCUGUCCAUGAAUCGCCUUUCGCCAUCAACUACUCUGUGGCCAUUCAGUUGCAAGGAAGCUUAAUUCUGAUGGUAAGGUGGAUACAAUGCAGGCCUUGCAUAAUUUGAAUGAAGACGAACUUGCUGGUUUUGAACAAUCUUGGAAAGGCAAUGGAAAAAGGCAUUUGCCUAGUUGGG